UGAAACCAGAUAUGACUUAGUGGCGGACGGGUGAGUAACACGUGAGCAACCUGCCUUUCAGAGGGGGAUAACGGCUGGAAACGGUCGCUAAUACCGCAUGACACAUUGGAGUCGCAUGGCUCUGAUGUCAAAGAUUUAUCGCUGAAAGAUGGCCUCGCGUCUGAUUAGCUAGUUGGUGAGGUAACGGCCCACCAAGGCGACGAUCAGUAGCCGGACUGAGAGGUUGACCGGCCACAUUGGGACUGAGACACGGCCCAAACUCC
rnacentral:rRNA from 1 species